UCAUUAUUAUUAGUAGUAUUGGUGGUAGUCGUUGCAGCAGUGUUAUCACCAUUAUCACCAUUACUGAUACAAUAAAAACAGAAGUGCAGCAGAAGACAAGUACAACAAUAGCCUGGUCUCUAGACAAUAAGAAACGAAAAGAUAAGAUAUGUGAUAGUAAUGGUGCCACCAGAGGCUUCCCGCAACUCGGAGGUCGCCUCGUCGCCGGCACCCUUUCCUUUACAGAGGCUUCCCGCAACUCGGAGGUCGCCUCGUCGCCGGCACCCUUUCCUUUACAGAGGCUUCCCGCAACUCGGAGGUCGCCUCGUCGCCGGCACCCUUUCCUUUACAGAGGCUUCCCGCAACUCGGAGGUCGCCUCGUCGCCGGCACCCUUUCCUUUACAGAGGCUUCCCGCAACUCGGAGGUCGCCUCGUCGCCGGCACCCUUUCCUUUACAGAGGCUUCCCGCAACUCGGAGGUCGCCUCGUCGCCGGCACCCUUUCCUUUAC